UUCGAUUGUGGUUGAUAAAGUCAUUACGAAAAGAAGCGUGAUUUGUUAUGCUCUUGAUUUACCUUGUGUAAAAUCCUCGAAUUUGUCCAAAUCUGUUUUGGAGAAUAAGGUAACGAAAUUUUCCAAAUUUGUUUUCAAUUUAUAUCCGUGCCUUAAACAGUUUAUGUGGUUGUACAUGAAGUUUGAGUUCCAUUUGACAA
rnacentral:lncRNA from 1 species